AAAUAACUACGAGUGAAAGCUUAAAAUUUAAAAGACUUGACGGUACUUCACAUCAAUCUAGAGGAGCCUGUCUAAUAACCGAUAAUCCACGAUUAACCCAACCUCCUCUAGCCUAACAGUCUAUAUACCGCCGUCGCCAGCUUACCUUGUAAAAGAAACAAAGCAAGCCCAAUAACAUCACCUCUAAUACGACAGGUCGAGGUGUAACCAAUGAGGAGGACAAGAUGGGCUACAUUUUCUACAACAGAAAAGCAAACGAAUAAACUAUGAAAUUAGAAACUGAAGGCGGAUUUAGAAGUAAGCUAAGAAUAGAACACUUAACCGAAACCAACGCAAUGAAGUGCGC
rnacentral:rRNA from 1 species